rnacentral:rRNA from 1 species
UACGAAGGGGGCUAGCGUUGCUCGGAAUUACUGGGCGUAAAGCGCACGUAGGCGGAUCCUUAAGUCGGUGGUGAAAUCCUGAAGCUCAACUUCAGAACUGCCUUCGAUACUGGGGACCUUGAGUUCGGGAGGGGUGAGUGGAACUGCGAGUGUAGAGGUGAAAUUCGUAGAUAUUCGCAAGAACACCAGUGGCGAAGGCGGCUCACUGGCCCGAUACUGACGCUGAGGUGCGAAAGCGUGGGGAGCAAACAGG